rnacentral:rRNA from 1 species
UAAUUUAAACGGCNNUAUAAUUAUAUUAAAGUAGCGUAAUAAUUUGUCAUUUAAUUAAUGAAUAUAAUGAAGAUUUUAUGAAUUAAAUACUGUCUCUAAAAUAUAAAACAAAAUUAAUAGUUUAGUGAAAAAACUUAAUUAAUUUUAAAAGACGAGAAGACCCUAUAGAACUUAUUUUAAAUUUUAAAUUUACUGGGGAAGUAAAGAUAAAACCAAAAUUAUUUUUAAAUAUGAAAACUUAAAGNUUUUAUAACCACU